GGCUAGGUAGCUCAGUUGGUUAGAGCACACGACUCAUAAUCGUGGGGUCGGGGGUUCAAAUCCCCCCCUCGCCA
rfam:Thioclava dalianensis strain DLFJ1-1 contig7, whole genome shotgun sequence.